rnacentral:lncRNA from 1 species
GAUCUAGGAUCAGGUCUAUUUCCUAGUGAAUACACCCCAUGGUGUUGAAUAGGAGGGUUGAUCUAGGAUCAGGUCUGUUUCCUAGUGAAUACACCCCAUGGUGUUGAAUAGGAGGGUUGAUCUAGGAUCAGGUCUGAUUCCUAGUGAAUACACCCCAUGGUGUUGAAUAGGAGUGUUGAUCUAGGAUCAGGUCUGUUUCCUAGUGAAUACACCCCAUGGUGUUGAAUAGGAGUGUUGAUCUAGGAUCAGGUCUGUUUCCUAGUGAAUACACCCCAUGGUGUUGAAUAGGAGGGUUGAUCUAGGAUCAGGUCUGUUUCCUAGUGAAUACACCCCAUGGUGUUGAAUAGGAGUGUUGAUCUAGGAUCAGGUCUGUU